UUCGAGAUGAUUUCCUUCAGUUCGGCUGGACAAGUGACAGGUGCUGCAUGGCUGUCGUCAGCUCGUGUCGUGAGAUGUUGGGUUAAGUCCCGCAACGAGCGCAACCCUCAUCUUUAGUUGCCAUCAUUCAGUUGGGCACUCUAAAGAGACUGCCGGUGAUAAGCCGGAGGAAGGUGGGGAUGACGUCAAGUCCUCAUGGCCCUUACACGCUGGGCUACACACGUGCUACAAUGGCGGUGACAGUGGGCAGCAACCUCGCGAGGGGUAGCUAAUCUCCAAAAGCCGUCUCAGUUCGGAUUGUUCUCUGCAACUCGAGAGCAUGAAGGCGGAAUCGCUAGUAAUCGCGGAUCAGCAUGCCGCGGUGAAUACGUUCCCAGGCCUUGUACACACCGCCCGUCA
rnacentral:rRNA from 1 species